GCAGCCAUUCAUUUAAAGAGUGCGUAACAGCUCACUAGUCGAGGAGUUUGGCGUGGAUAAUAAUCGGGCAUAAGUAUUCUACCGAAGCUUUGGGAUGAGAAAUCAUCGGUAGGGGAGCAUUCCACUCUGCGUCGAAGGUAAGGCGUGAGCCUUGCUGGAGCGUGUGGAAAAGCAAAUGUAGGUAUAAGUAACGAUAAAGGGGGUGGGAAACCCCCUCGCCGAAAGACUAAGGUUUCCUGAUCAACGCUAAUCGGAUCAGGGUAAGUCGGGUCCUAAGGCUCAGCCGAACGGCGAGGCCGAUGGCAGAACCGGUUAAUAUUCCGGUACUACCUUAAGGAGUGACGUGGAGACGGAGUCGUGACAGCGCCGCGGACUGACGGAAUAGUCCGUUGAAGGGUGUAGAUGUUGAUUGUUCCAGGCAAAUCCGGAACGAGAGUCGAACCUGACAGUAUGGAGCGUCCUUCUGGACAAUCCAAUAGUGCGUGUAAUCAUACUUCCAAGAAAAUCCGCUAAACUUAAUCCUUACGGUACCCGUACCGCAAACGGACACACGUAGUC
rnacentral:rRNA from 1 species